ACGGGGGGUGCAAGCGUUGUCCGGAAUCAUUGGGCGUAAAGCGUUCGUAGGCUGUAUGUCAAGUCUGGUGUUAAAGCCCGGGGCUCAACUCUGGAUCAGCACUGGAUACUGGCAAACUAGAGUAUGGUAGAGGAAAAGGGAAUUCCUGGUGUAGCGGUGAAAUGCGUAGAUAUCAGGAGGAACACCGGUGGCGAAGGCGCUUUACUGGGCUAUUAUUGACGCUGAGGAACGAAAGCCUGGGGAGCAAAUAG
rnacentral:rRNA from 1 species